GCCAGGCGUGGUGGCAUGAGCCUAUAGUCCCAGCUACUCAUGAGGCUGAGACAGGAGGAUCACUUGAGUCCAAGAGUUCUGUGUUGUAGUGCGCUAUGUCAGUUGGGUGUCUGCACUAAUUUCGGCAUCAAUACGGUGACCUCCCAGGACAGGGGGGACCACCAGGUUGACUACAGUGGGAUGAACCAGCCCAGGUUGGGCAUGGAGCAGGUCAAAACCCCCAUGUUGAUUAGUAGUGGGAUCAUGCCUGUGAAUAGCCACUGCACUCCAGCCUGGACAACAUAAUGAGACCCUGCCUCUA
ensembl:misc_RNA Metazoa_SRP Metazoan signal recognition particle RNA